rnacentral:rRNA from 1 species
UACGUAGGGCGCAAGCGUUUAUCCGGAAUUAUUGGGCGUAAAGAGCUCGUAGGCGGUUUGUCGCGUCUGCCGUGAAAGUCCGGGGCUCAACUCCGGAUCUGCGGUGGGUACGGGCAGACUAGAGUGAUGUAGGGGAGACUGGAAUUCCUGGUGUAGCGGUGAAAUGCGCAGAUAUCAGGAGGAACACCGGUGGCGAAGGCGGUUCUCUGGGCCUGACCUGACGCUGAGGAGCGAAAGCGUGGGGAGCGAACAGG